rnacentral:rRNA from 1 species
UGGGGAAUAUUGCACAAUGGGCGAAAGCCUGAUGCAGCAACGCCGCGUGAGUGAUGAAGGCCUUCGGGUCGUAAAACUCUGUCCUCAAGGAAGAUAAUGACGGUACUUGAGGAGGAAGCCCCGGCUAACUACGUGCCAGCAGCCGCGGUAAUACGUAGGGGGCUAGCGUUAUCCGGAUUUACUGGGCGUAAAGGGUGCGUAGGCGGUCUUUCAAGUCAGGAGUGAAAGGCUACGGCUCAACCGUAGUAAGCUCUUGAAACUGGGAGACUUGAGUGCAGGAGAGGAGAGUGGGGAGCAAACAGG